GGAUUAAUGCUGGCGGCGUGCCUGACACAUGCAAGUCGUACGGCCCGCCUUUGGCGGGCAGUGGCGAACGGCUGAGUAACGCGUGGAUAAUCUGCCCUUCUCCCGACCAUAACCUGCCGAAAGGCAGGCUAAUAGUCGAUGGUAUUUAAUGGUGAAAUUCCAUUAAAUUAAAGGCUUUCCGCAAGGAUGGCCGGAGAAGGAGGAGUCCGCGUCCUAUCAGCUUGUUGGUGAGGUAAUGGCUCACCAAGGCGAUGACGGGUAGCUGGUCUGAGAGGAUGGUCAGCCAGAAGGGGACUGAGACACGGCCCCUACUCCUACGGGAGGCAGCAGUGAGGAAUCUUGCGCAAUGGGCGAAAGCCUGACGCAGCGACGCCGCGUGAGGGAAGAAGCCCUUCGGGGUGUAAACCUCUUUUUUUGCCGACGAAAUCUGACGUUAGGCAAAGAAUAAGGACCUGCUAACUACGUGCCAGCAGCCGCGGUAAGACGUAGGGUCCAAGCAUUAUCCGGAUUUACUGGGCGUAAAGAGUGCGUAGGUGCUCGUCUUAAUUUCGUCUGAAAGGGCUAUGGCUCAACCAUAGAAUUGGACGAAAAAUUGGACGAGUUGAGGCCGGAAGGGGCAGGUGGAAUUCUCGGUGUAGGGGUGAAAUCCGUUGAUAUCGAGAAGAACGCCAAUGGCGAAGGCAGCCUGCUGGUCCGGGUUCUGACACUGAGGCACGAAAGCGUGGGGAGCGAACGGGAUUAGAUACCCCGGUAGUCCACGCCGUAAACGAUGCAGACUAGCUAUUGGGAGCAUCGACCCUCCUUGUAGCGAAGCUAACGCGUCAAGUCUGCCGCCUGGGAAGUACGGCCGCAAGGCUAAAACUCAAAGGAAUUGACGGGGGCUCGCACAAGCGGUGGAGCAUCUGGCUUAAUUCGACGACAAGCGAAGAACCUUACCAGGCCUUGACAUCCCGCGAAUCCUGCCGAAAGGUGGGAGUGCCCGCAAGGGAACGCGGAGACAGGUGCUGCAUGGUCGUCGUCAGCUCGUACCGUGAGGCGUUGGGUUAAGUCCCGGAACGAGCGCAACCCUCGUCCUCUGUUUCACGUGUCAGAGGAGACUGCCCUGGUUAACAGGGAGGAAGGUGGGGAUGACGUCAGAUCAGCAUGGCUUUUACGGCCUGGGCGGCACAGGUGCUACAAUGGCUGGUACAAAGGGUUGCGAAGCGGUAACGCGGAGCUAAUCCCAUCAAAGCCAGCCCCAGUUCGGAUUGUGGUCUGCAACUCGACCACAUGAAGCUGGAAUCGCUAGUAACCGUGGGUCAGCCACACCACGGUGAAUACGUUCUCGAGCCUUGYACUCACCGCCCGU
rnacentral:rRNA from 1 species